GACGAACGCUGGCGGCGUGCUUAACACAUGCAAGUCGAACGGAAAGGCCAUGCUUUUGUGGGUUGCUCGAGUGGCGAACGGGUGAGUAACACGUGUGUAACCUGCCCUUGACUUUGGGAUAACUUCUGGAAACUGGGGCUAAUACCGCAUAGGAUCUCCUGCUGCAUGGUGGGGGUUGGAAAGUUUCGGCGGUUGGGGAUGGACUCGCGGCUUAUCAGCUUGUUGGUGGGGUAGUGGCGUACCAAGGCUUUGACGGGUAGCCGGCCUGAGAGGGUGAACGGCCACAUGGGGACUGAGGUAGGGAGCAGAAUGGAACGGGAGGCAACGGUGGGGAGUAUUGCACAAUGGGCGGGCGCGUGAGGCGGCAGCGCCGGGUGCGUGAUGAUGGCUUUCGGGGGGUAAACCGAUUUCUCCUGUGACGUGGCGUGAGUGACGGUAAUGGGUAAAGAAGCACCGGCUAACUACGUG
rnacentral:rRNA from 1 species